UGUUCUCAUGGACCAGACAGCUCUGG
rnacentral:misc_RNA from 1 species